AUAAACAACUUUCAAAUACACCAGUUCUCGUCCUAUCACUGAAGUUAAGCAAUAUUGGGCAUGGUUAGUAUUUGGAUGGGUGACCGCUUGGGAACACCAUGUGACGUUGGCA
rnacentral:rRNA from 1 species